UCCUCCUGUGUGCUACCUAUAUCCCCCCACUAGAAUCCCCAUCUUUUAAUGAAGACAGCUUCUCCAUCCUGGAGGGGGAAAUCAAUCAUUUCCAGGCCCAGGGACAUGUACUAGUCUGUGGCGACCUAAAUGCCAGAACCGGACAAGAACCUGACACCCUCAGCACACAGGGGGACAAACACCUGCCUGGAGGUGACAGCAUUCCCUCCCACAUAUGCCCCCCUAGGCACAACUAUGACAACAUAACCAACAAACAAGGGUCACAACUCCUGCAGCUCUGUCGCAAGCUGGGUAUGUACAUAGUCAACGGUAGGCUUCGAGGGGACUCCUAUGGUAGGUACACCUAUAGCUCAUCUCUUGGCAGUAGUACUGUAGACUACUUUAUCACUGACCUCAACCCAGAGUCUCUCAGAGCGUUCACAGUCAGCCCACUGACACCCCUAUCAGACCACAGCAAAAUCACAGUCUACUUAAACAGAGCAAUACUCAAUCAUGAGGCAUCAAAGCCAAAGGAACUGAGUAACAUUAAGAAAUGCUAUAGAUGGAAGGAAUGCAGUUUGGAAACCUACCAAAAAACAAUUAGGCAACAACAAAUUCAAUCCCUUUUAGACAAUUUCCUGGGUAAAACGUUCCACUGUAAUAGUGAAGGUGUAAUCUUGGCAGUAGAAAAUCUUAACAAUAUAUUUGACCUCUCAGCUUCCCUAUCAAAUCUAAAAAUCUCAAAUAGAAAACCGAAGAAAAUUAACAAUAAUGACAAAUGGUUUGAUGAAGAAUGCAAAAAUCUAAGAAAGAAAUUGAGAAACCUGUCCAACCAAAAACAUAGAGACCCGGAAAACCUGAGUCUAUGCCUUCACUAUGGUGAAUCACUAAAACAAUACAGAAAUACACUACGGAAAAAGAAGGAAAAGCAUGUCAGAAAUCAGCUCAAUGUAGUUGAAGAAUCCAUAGACUCUAACCACUUCUGGGAAAAUUGGAAAACACUAAACAAACAACAACACAAAGAAUUAUCGAUCCAAAAUGUAGAUGUAUGGGUAAACCACUUCUCCAAUCUUUUUGGCUCUAUAACAAAGAAUAAAGAGCAA
rnacentral:lncRNA from 1 species